rnacentral:rRNA from 1 species
CAUUAUCAUGUAAAUUCAGUCAUGCUUGCUGCGUGAGCUGCAAUACACCCACCCUGCGUACACAUCUCCUGUUGCUUCCGCCGCGCCCAGAUGAGAAUCAGCCCGGCGGGAGGGUAGAAAAUAACCUCCAAGUCAUACUAUAUAGAAUCUGUCUGAACAAAUGAAGAAACCAAAUGAAAUGUUAAAACUUUCAGCAACGGAUCUCUUGGUUCUCGCAUCGAUGAAGAACGCAGCGAAAUGCGAUAAGUAGUGUGAAUUGCAGAAUUCAGUGAAUCAUCGAAUCUUUGAACGCACAUUGCGCCUCCUGGUAUUCCGGGAGGCAUGCCUGUUCGAGAGUCAUUGACAACCACAUCGGACACCCCCAUCUCAGUCCUCGAGGGUUCUGGGGGGAGAUCGGUCCUGGAGGAGGAGGAAUGAGAGUUGCUGUACGCGGAGCCCAUAUAGUUGGCCUGCUAAGAUUGGCAAAUCGCCUCCCCUCCGAAAUUCAUACGCGGUCUGUGUUCAAAAACCCACAUGUUUUACGGGCGUUGUAGAGGCGGCCCCUCACAAUUUUUGGAGGAGCCACUUUUCGCGAGUAUAAUAGAGCGGGUUUAGUGGACCACGGACUAGCCAGCCCAUCCAAAAAAGGAAUAAAAAUCCCACGUGGUUUCUUAUUUCUAAAUCAAAGGUUGACCUCGGAUCAGGUAGGGAUACCCGCUGACU